CCCGCCCCACCCCUUCCCACCCCCACCCCCGCCCGCACCUCCCCAGGCCACCGCUGCGCCGUCUAUCCGCAGCCCCGCCCGCACCUUCCCAGGCCGCUACCUCGCCGGCCUUCCACAGGCCCCCCGCCGCGUUUCCCAUCCCCAGGCCGCCACCACGCUGGCGAUCCUAGGCACCCCCCAAGCCGCCACAGGAUCCGGUGCCGGGGAGGGAUGCGGUGGUGGCCUCGGGGGGUGAGGAUGGGUGGUGGUGGUUCAAGGCGGGGAGGAGACCCGCACUGUCGUCCCGCCAGGGCCCGCACCUUCGCGGCCCAGCCUUCUUCGUUUCCCUACUUCCCGCAGAGACGCCGGAUCUGUGAGCCAGCGGCAUGUCACAUGCCGUCCCGGAGCUCAACCGCCAAGGAUUCGUGAUUUCUUCUGUUGUUGCGCUCUUCCUCGACCCCGACGAGUGCACUUCCUCAACCUAGAAAGAGUGCUGCACUUCCUCCCCUCGAUGAACUGCAUCUCCACCGGUGUCGCUGAUGAGCAGUUCGCUUGUGUUGUUGCUGCUGAACCUCCCCGACUCACAUCAGUGUUACUCCAAAAGAUGAGGUUCAGUUUCUUGCAUUCUGACGGCCACGCCGACGUGUGUGUGCGCGGGUGCAGCUUGCAAAAAAGCCCCUAAAAUCAACUCAGUUGGUGCUGAGUGUGCGGUUUGAAUUUUUUCCUACAAAAGAUGUGCUCUGGUGAAGUUCAUUGCUGAUGUAUCUCUAGUGCAGUUUUCAGAUAGGUGCUACUGCCUUCUGCACUCCUCUUUGAUCCACUAUGGCGGCAAAAAACAAGACAGGAAAUAUUCUUGUUUAGAAGACCACUUGUCAAUUUGAUGUGUUGAAGAGCGAGUUGUACAGAUUUGUGUCCUAGAGGGAAAGCAGUUUGUGUGUGUAGUUUUUUUUUGUGUCUGGAUGCAUUAUUUUUUGACACAUUUCACUCGCUUGUCAUGUGCAGUAAGUGACUACAAAAGAAAA